UACGUAGGUGGCGAGCGUUGUCCGGAAUUAUUGGGUGUAAAGGGAGCGUAGGCGGGUCGGCAAGUCAGUGGUGAAAUACAUGGGCUUAACCCAUGAAUUGCCAUUGAAACUGCCGGUCUUGAGUGGAUCAGAGGCAAGCGGAAUUCCGAGUGUAGCGGUGAAAUGCGUAGAUAUUCGGAGGAACACCAGUGGCGAAGGCGGCUUGCUGGGGUCUAACUGACGCUGAGGCUCGAAAGUGUGGGGAGCAAACAGGAUUAGAUACCCU
rnacentral:rRNA from 1 species